GCUUACGGCCACACCGGCCUGAGUACGCCUGAUCUCGUCCGAUCUCGGAAGCUAAGCAGGUCGGGCCUGGUUAGUACUUGAUGGGAGACCGCCUGGGAAUACCAGGUGCUGUACGCU
rnacentral:rRNA from 1 species